GCGCUGUUAGCUCAGUAGGAUAGAGCGGUUCCCUCCUAAGGAACAGGCCGCAGGUUCGACCCCCGCACAGCGCACCA
rnacentral:tRNA from 1 species